rnacentral:miRNA from 1 species
UUCCAAGCCCAAAGGCUUAUAGCUCUAGGCCUUGAGAAUCAGACUUAAGGCUCUAGAUUCUCAAAGCUAGAUAC